GACUGGGAUAACUCCGGGAAACCGGGGCUAAUACCGGAUAAUAUUUUGAACUGCAUAGUUCGAAAUUGAAAGGCGGCUUCGGCUGUCACUUAUGGAUGGACCCGCGUCGCAUUAGCUAGUUGGUGAGGUAACGGCUCACCAAGGCGACGAUGCGUAGCCGACCUGAGAGGGUGAUCGGCCACACUGGGACUGAGACACGGCCCAGACUCCUACGGGAGGCAGCAGUAGGGAAUCUUCCGCAAUGGACGAAAGUCUGACGGAGCAACGCCGCGUGAGUGAUGAAGGCUUUCGGGUCGUAAAACUCUGUUGUUAGGGAAGAACAAGUGCUAGUUGAAUAAGCUGGCACCUUGACGGUACCUAACCAGAAAGCCACGGCUAACUACGUGCCAGCAGCCGCGGUAAUACGUAGGUGGCAAGCGUUAUCCGGAAUUAUUGGGCGUAAAGCGCGCGCAGGUGGUUUCUUAAGUCUGAUGUGAAAGCCCACGGCUCAACCGUGGAGGGUCAUUGGAAACUGGGAGACUUGAGUGCAGAAGAGGAAAGUGGAAUUCCAUGUGUAGCGGUGAAAUGCGUAGAGAUAUGGAGGAACACCAGUGGCGAAGGCGACUUUCUGGUCUGUAACUGACACUGAGGCGCGAAAGCGUGGGGAGCAAACAGGA
rnacentral:rRNA from 1 species